rnacentral:rRNA from 1 species
AUUGAACGCUGGCGGCAGGCCUAACACAUGCAAGUCGAACGGUAACAGGAAGAUGCUUGCUUCUUUGCUGACGAGUGGCGGACGGGUGAGUAAUGUCUGUGAAACUUCCUGAUGGAGGGGGAUAACUACUGGAAACGGUAGCUAAUACCGCAUAACGUCGCAAGACCAAAGAGGGGGACCUUCGGGCCUCUUGCCUUCGGAUGGGCCCAGAUGGGAUUAGCUAGUAGGUGGGGUAACGGCUCACCUAGGCGACGAUCCGUAGCUGGUCUGAGAGGAUGACCAGCCACACUGGAACUGAGACACGGUCCAGACUCCUACGGGAGGCAGCAGUGGGGAAUAUUGCACAAUGGGCGAAAGCCUGAUGCAGCCAUGCCGCGUGUAUGAAGAAGGCCUUCGGGUUGUAAAGUACUUUCAGCGGGGAGGAAGGGAGGAAAGUUAAUACCUUUACUCAUUGACGUUACCUGCAGAAGAAGCACCGGCUAACUCCGUG